rfam:Trichobilharzia regenti genome assembly, scaffold: TRE_scaffold0026919
GUACUGAUGAAGAGUUCGAAACUAGGACGAAACAGCUGUCCAGUAC